UCUCCCAUCAGGGUCCAUGAACCAUCCUUCCCGCUCCCUCCAGGCCCAUGUCUGCCCUCCUCUGCCAGCGUGGCAUCUGGGCAGGUGGACCCCACAGUGACCAGAGAGUGGGGCCUUGACCUCUGGAGGUCCUGCCCCCUGCCUCAGGGCAGCUGCUGCAGCCAAGUGCCCUAUGCCCUGCAAUGCACUUCCCCAAGCACCCUGUGGCUCCUUCGCUCCCCCACGAAUCCCUCCACUUACACCUGCUGGGGCUGCAGGCCCACCGAGGAGCCAGGCCCUCCCUGUGGCCCUUGGAAUAGGGACCUGCCCUUCCGCCUCGACGUUGGGGUCCUCAUCCCACCCACAGAGGCCCUGCUGGGCCAGGCCCGGGGCCGGGGGUCCCGUAACCUGCCUGGUCUCCCACGGGAGCCUCCUGAGCCCUGCCGUGGCCUCCCUCUGCGUCGCCCUGCCCCCCAUCCUGCCGGGGCGGGGGUCCCGGGGUGCUGUCGGCCUCCUGCACAGCAGCCGCUGUCAGAGUCCUGGGAAGGCCUGGGCACAUGUCCCCUUUGUCUCUGUCCUUCUCCCCUCUGCCAGCGUGUGGCCGGGAGAGCACAGGCCCCGGGCUUGACCUUGGCCCUCCGUGAGUUAGCGUGCAGCCCGCUGGGCCAGAAGUGGCUUCCAGUUAGACUCAUCACUGUUCCCUGUGCUGCCAAGCGGGAAGGUGUGCGUCGGAUCCCGUCGGCCCCGGGGAAGGGUUUCCUGGGCUCUCCUGCUCAGGCGCUGCAGGGAACUCCAUUUGUCACUAGAAGAGAGAAGGAUAGUUUCAAAACACCGUCGCUGUGGCGCUCGUGGGACACGUCUGGCAGCCGUGGAGGCCCAGAUUCAGACACCGCAGGUACUGGCCACACUGCGCGCUGAGCGCUGAGCGCGCCGUCCUGCUCUCUAGGCCGGCGAGGGGGGGGCAGACCAGCGCGGAGCCUGCGGUCGUGUCCGGGCCCAGGUUCCGAACUCGGGGAUUUCCAGGGCGGAGGGAGAACUGGGGAGGGCAGUUCAAGACCCUGUAGCAGCAUGAAGUGCCCGUCCCAUCCGGGGAGGUGCCCCGCAUAUUGGGUAGGGUCCGCCUCGCUCUGCCAUCGGCACGAGGAGGCUUUGUCCCGUCCUUUCUCCCCGAGGAAAGGUUGGGGCGCAGGGAAGAGAGCCGUGCGUGAGGACACGUCGUGGCUGAGGACACAUCGUGGCGGUGGCGAGCCCGAGCAGCCUCUCCUCUGGCCUCACUGUAGUAGGAAGCCGUGGUACGAAGGCCCUUUAAGAAAAGGAGGAGAAAGAAGGGUCUGAGUCCCAUCCCGUCCUGGUGUAGGGUCCACACGCGGGAAAGCCCUCGGGGAGGAGCAACGGCGUUUUUAUGGCAAAAGUUUUCCGGUUUGCAACCGAGUCUGCAUUUUCCUCUUUGGGAACAGCGUUAUGCAUAAGACUAUGAAGUGAGAAAUUUUUAGAUUUGAAAGACUUUUUAGUACAUUAGAACUUAGAUUCUAACUCAGAGGAAAACACACCAGUUAAUGGUAUUUAGGAAGGGGACUCUUCCCUGUGCUAGUUGUGGGGCCACCCACCCCUGACCCCGCAGCUGGGGUGUUGCUUGGGGAGGGGACGCGACUGGCAGGGAGGGGAUGGCCAGGGGAGCGCCGGGAGCCCCUACGAGAGGUGGCCGGAUGCCCGGGUCUGGCCUUCUCGCAGCCUGGGGUUCACGGUGGCAGUAAAUGGGCGUCGAGGGCCGCAGUGGGCAGGAACCUCGUUCAGCCUCAAGAGGCACGGAGGUGAGACAGAUGGGGUCUGGGCUCUCGGAAGGGAGGCUGGCAGGGGGACAGACGGGCACAGGUGAGUGCCCGACCAGGUGGUGCCUGCAGCCUGGUGCCUGCAUGUG
rnacentral:lncRNA from 12 species